AUGAGCAAUGCUAUAGCAUCCCAAAGAGAACAAAUAUACUGUCCUCAGCUGCAGACAUCAAGCUGUCUGACCUUCCAACCUGUAUCUGAUACUCUUGUCUCUACACUCCAAGAUAUCCACUGUCUGAGACUGCAUAUUGCUCUCUGGCUGCCCCGAAUAUCCUAUGUUAACUUUCAAGCAGUUCCCCAGGGUUUUAAAUGUUACAUUAAAAAAUAUGAGGUCCCAUAUACCCCUACCCCACCCAUCCCCCCUCCCACACCAACAACCUCUUUCAUCACUGCAGUACAUCCACUGCACCUGGCGAAGACAUUCUGGAGCACUGCUGCACUACCUGGACAGUGGUCCACAUUGUAGUCCACUCUCUCCCCCAGUCCACCCAGUGGGCCAUGAAAGGACACACAACAUCCAGCAUCCGUCCCAGGGUUUAAAAAUUAUUGCUUUUACCCUAGCCAAUAUGGCACCACUCCCCCUUAUCGUCCCACUAAACUAUUAUUCUCUCUGAUAAUUCAGCUAAGUGGUAGGAAAUAAACUCUUCAAAAUAAACCAUACUAAUGUAAAUGGUUGAAAACCUCUCCACACUCCCCACCCCCCACUUCCAUACCCUUGGGAAACUGCUUUCUCAAAUAAUAUCAAUUGGUAAAAUUUUAUACAUAUUGAGAAGAAAACUGGAGAUGUGUGUGGUGAAUUAGGGGGAGACAUACUUUUAAGCAUACAAAAACAACUUGUUCCUAAUUUUAUUAGUCAGUCAAAGGGGUACUGAUGCAAAAUACUAGAAAUCUGCUGGUCAUUAUAAAGGGUAUUUAUUUGGGGUAGGAGCUUACAGAUAUCAGGUCAUAAAGUAUAAGUUACUUCUCUCACCAAAGUCUAUUUCCACAUUUUGGAGCAAGAUGGCUGCACAUCUGCAGAGUCAGGCUUCCUGGGCUCCUCUCUUUCCAGGGCUUGCUUCUUUCUGGGCUCAGGGUCCAUUUCUUUCUGGGGUUUGUUUCUCUUUCUUCUGUGUGCUUACUUCCUGGGACUGCAGCUUAAGGCUUCAACAUCAAACUCGAACAUCAAAGACUCUCAACUCUGGCCUUUGCCAUGCCUUUUGUCUGUGAGCCUAUACUCAAAAACAGGCAGGGACUCAACACCCUAAUGAUGUGGCCCAAUCAAAGCCCUAAUCAUAACUUAAUCACACCCAGAUACAGAACAGAUUACAAACAUAAUCCAGUAACUAUUUUUGGAAUUCAUAACCCUAUCAAACUGCUACACUAAUUAUACUCAAUUCUUGAAAUAGGCAAAUUCAAAUUCUUGAAUUUGAGAAUAAGAGAAAUUGAUCCUUGCUGAAUUUACCUGAUUCCACCUGCUUCCUAAAGUCUGAUUAAGCUAAUGUCCAAUUUUUGAGAUCCAAUGACAGGAGGAAAGGAAGAGAACGGGUGUUGCCAAAGGUCUGUUCUGUUUCUAAUGUCUGUAUGAAUAUAAAACUGCCAGUCAGGGGCUCUUAGAAUAUUGAGGACUCAGUGGUAGAAAAAUGAGAGGUCUGGCAAUUCUCCUGAGUUAUGGACCCAGAAGGUCAGAAUGAUCUCCAAGUUUCCUGUCCCAUAUCUGCUUAUCUUUCUCCUUCCUCUAGCUAAUAAUGGAAAUUUCUGCUUUCAUUACAUGAAAAUGAUACUAAUUACAAUUUAUAGCUAGUUACUCCAUGGCACAAGUAAGAAGUACCAAGUUGCAGUUAGCUUUGUUCUAAGUUUUACUUUAAUGUAACACUUUAUUUUAUUCAGGUGUUUAAUCUUCAUAGUUCUGUUCAUGGCAGGUUACUUUUCUAAUUACAGCAACAAAAACUAAAGGAAAAAUUAGAAAUGCCCAAUAAAUACUGGUUGAAUUAAUUAAUGGAUAUUAUGCUUAUUUAAAGUGGCAUGUGUCAGUCAUUCGAACAUUUACUUAUCAUAUACUAUAUACAAAUCAGGGAUUAUCUUUCUAUUAUUUUGAGGAAGUAGUACAGACUUCAUUAAAAAUUUGUUGUGAGGAUGGAGGAGAGUUUGUUUUUGUCAUUUAUUUAUUUGUCUUUAUUUAUUUUAAUGUUACAUUAAAAAAAUAUGAGGUCCCCAAAUACCCCCCACCCUCCUCACCACACUCCUCCCCCCAUAACAACAUCCAGGACAGAGGAGUUUUAUGCUGCCUAAUCCACAGCAGAACCUCAACAAUCUUCCCCCUACUCCACUCAGUGAAUGUUUCUUAUCUCUGGACUCUAGAUAUACAAACAACUAGGGUAUUGGUUCUCCUUCUUUAACCUUUAUAUUACCCAUUUUUAUUCUAAUCAGACAUUAAAUACUAACUAGUGUGUGCUUUAAAGUCGCAUUUACACAACAGUUAUAUCUUUACCUUAGUAAGAUAUGAUCACCAUUUGGGAACACUGCUCCAAAAUUAGAAAAAAAUGACAUUAAAUAACAUCUCCGGAAGCGGACUUGGCCCAGUGGUUAGGGUAUCCAUCUACCACAUGGGAAGUCUGCGGUUCAAACCCUGGGCCUCCUUGACCCGUGUGGAGCUGGCCCAUGCACAGUGCUGAUAUGCGCAAGGAGUGCCGUGCCACGCAGGGGUGUCCCUGCGUAGGGGAGCCUGAUGGCGCAAGGAGUGCAUCCCGUAAGGAGAGCUGCCCAGCGCGAAAGAAAGUUCAGCCUGCCCAGAAAUGGCGCCGCACACAUGGAGAGCUGACACAACAAGAUGACGCCACAGAGGGAAACACAGAUUCCUAUGCUGCUGACAACAACAGAAGCGGACAAAGAAGAACAUGCAGCAAAUAGACACAGAGAACAGACAACUGGGGCGGGGGAGGGGAAAGGGGAGAGAAAGGAAAAAAUAAAUCUUUAAAAUAAAUAAAUAAAUAAAUAACACCUCUUUCCUAGACAACUGUGUCCUUAUAUGGAAACACCGUUCAAGAGCAAUACUGAUCUAGAAGGACAGGAAGAUAAGUCCUACUAUGUGGUCACAGCCCAGUUUAAAAAUGGCUGCCAAGACAAGACAUUUUAAC
ensembl:lincRNA